GACGAACGCUGGCGGCGUGCCUAAUACAUGCAAGUUGAGCGCUGAAGGUUGGUACUUGUACCGACUGGAUGAGCAACGAACGGGUGAGUAACGCGUGGGGAAUCUGCCUUUGAGCGGGGGACAACAUUUGGAAACGAAUGCUAAUACCGCAUAACAACUUUAAACACAAGUUUUAAGUUUGAAAGAUGCAAUUGCAUCACUCAAAGAUGAUCCCGCGUUGUAUUAGCUAGUUGGUGAGGUAAAGGCUCACCAAGGCGAUGAUACAUAGCCGACCUGAGAGGGUGAUCGGCCACAUUGGGACUGAGACACGGCCCAAACUCCUACGGGAGGCAGCAGUAGGGAAUCUUCGGCAAUGGACGAAAGUCUGACCGAGCAACGCCGCGUGAGUGAAGAAGGUUUUCGGAUCGUAAAACUCUGUUGGUAGAGAAGAACGUUGGUGAGAGUGGAAAGCUCAUCAAGUGACGGUAACUACCCAGAAAGGGACAGCUAACUACGUGCCAGCAGCCGCGGUAA
rnacentral:rRNA from 1 species